rnacentral:rRNA from 1 species
GUAGGUGAACCUGCAGAUGGAUCAUUUU